rnacentral:rRNA from 1 species
GACGGAAGGUGCAAGCGUUGCUCGGAAUCACUGGGCGUAAAGGGUGCGUAGGCGGCUUGGUAGGUCUGGUGUGAAAGCCCCGGGCUCAGCCCGGGAAGGGCACUAGAAACUGCCAAGCUAGAGUGCCGGAGGGGAGAGUGGAAUUCCUGGUGUAGCGGUGAAAUGCGUAGAUAUCAGGAGGAAUACCGGUGGCGAAAGCGACUCUCUGGACGGCAACUGACACUGAGGCACGAAAGCGUGGGGAGCAAACAGG